rnacentral:rRNA from 1 species
CCUACGGGAGGCAGCAGUGGGGAAUUUUGGACAAUGGGCGAAAGCCUGAUCCAGCAAUGCCGCGUGAGUGAAGAAGGCCUUCGGGUUGUAAAGCUCUUUUGUCAGGGAAGAAACGGUGAGGGCUAAUAUCCCUUGCUAAUGACGGUACCUGAAGAAUAAGCACCGGCUAACUACGUGCCAGCAGCCGCGGUAAUACGUAGGGUGCAAGCGUUAAUCGGAAUUACUGGGCGUAAAGCGUGCGCAGGCGGUUUUGUAAGUCUGUCGUGAAAUCCCCGGGCUCAACCUGGGAAUUGCGAUGGAGACUGCAAGGCUAGAAUCUGGCAGAGGGGGGUAGAAUUCCACGUGUAGCAGUGAAAUGCGUAGAGAUGUGGAGGAACACCGAUGGCGAAGGCAGCCCCCUGGGUCAAGAUUGACGCUCAUGCACGAAAGCGUGGGGAGCAAACAGGAUUAGAUACCCUGGUAGUCCACGCCCUAAACGAUGUCUACUAGUUGUCGGGUUUUAAUUAACUUGGUAACGCAGCUAACGCGUGAAGUAGACCGCCUGGGGAGUACGGUCGCAAGNUUAAAACCUUAAGGAAUUGACCGGNUGAGAGNGCGAGACGACGACGAGGGAGAGG